rnacentral:tRNA from 1 species
GGACCCGUAGCUCAGUUGGAUAGAGCACUUGGCUUCGAACCAAGGGGUCGGGGGUUCGAGUCCCUCCGGGUCUGCCA